rnacentral:rRNA from 1 species
GACCUUCGGGCCUUGCGCUAUCAGAUGAGCCUAGGUCGGAUUAGCUAGUUGGUGAGGUAAUGGCUCACCAAGGCUACGAUCCGUAACUGGUCUGAGAGGAUGAUCAGUCACACUGGAACUGAGACACGGUCCAGACUCCUACGGGAGGCAGCAGUGGGGAAUAUUGGACAAUGGGCGAAAGCCUGAUCCAGACAGGGCCGCGUGUGUGAAGAAGGUCUUCGGAUUGUAAAUUAAAGGAAGUUGGGAGGAAGGGCA